rnacentral:rRNA from 1 species
GCCCUGGGGGGGGGCCUUAUACAUGCAAGUCGAACGAACUCUGGUAUUGAUUGGUGCUUGCAUCAUGAUUUACAUUUGAGUGAGUGGCGAACUGGUGAGUAACACGUGGGAAACCUGCCCAGAAGCGGGGGAUAACACCUGGAAACAGAUGCUAAUACCGCAUAACAACUUGGACCGCAUGGUCCGAGCUUGAAAGAUGGCUUCGGCUAUCACUUUUGGAUGGUCCCGCGGCGUAUUAGCUAGAUGGUGGGGUAACGGCUCACCAUGGCAAUGAUACGUAGCCGACCUGAGAGGGUAAUCGGCCACAUUGGGACUGAGACACGGCCCAAACUCCUACGGGAGGCAGCAGUAGGGAAUCUUCCACAAUGGACGAAAGUCUGAUGGAGCAACGCCGCGUGAGUGAAGAAGGGUUUCGGCUCGUAAAACUCUGUUGUUAAAGAAGAACAUAUCUGAGAGUAACUGUUCAGGUAUUGACGGUAUUUAACCAGAAAGCCACGGCUAACUACGUGCCAGCAGCCGCGGUAAUACGUAGGUGGCAAGCGUUGUCCGGAUUUAUUGGGCGUAAAGCGAGCGCAGGCGGUUUUUUAAGUCUGAUGUGAAAGCCUUCGGCUCAACCGAAGAAGUGCAUCGGAAACUGGGAAACUUGAGUGCAGAAGAGGACAGUGGAACUCCAUGUGUAGCGGUGAAAUGCGUAGAUAUAUGGAAGAACACCAGUGGCGAAGGCGGCUGUCUGGUCUGUAACUGACGCUGAGGCUCGAAAGUAUGGGUAGCAAACAGGAUUAGAUACCCUGGUAGUCCAUACCGUAAACGAUGAAUGCUAAGUGUUGGAGGGUUUCCGCCCUUCAGUGCUGCAGCUAACGCAUUAAGCAUUCCGCCUGGGGAGUACGGCCGCAAGGCUGAAACUCAAAGGAAUUGACGGGGGCCCGCACAAGCGGUGGAGCAUGUGGUUUAAUUCGAAGCUACGCGAAGAACCUUACCAGGUCUUGACAUACUAUGCAAAUCUAAGAGAUUAGACGUUCCCUUCGGGGACAUGGAUACAGGUGGUGCAUGGUUGUCGUCAGCUCGUGUCGUGAGAUGUUGGGUUAAGUCCCGCAACGAGCGCAACCCUUAUUAUCAGUUGCCAGCAUUAAGUUGGGCACUCUGGUGAGACUGCCGGUGACAAACCGGAGGAAGGUGGGGAUGACGUCAAAUCAUCAUGCCCCUUAUGACCUGGGCUACACACGUGCUACAAUGGAUGGUACAACGAGUUGCGAACUCGCGAGAGUAAGCUAAUCUCUUAAAGCCAUUCUCAGUUCGGAUUGUAGGCUGCAACUCGCCUACAUGAAGUCGGAAUCGCUAGUAAUCGCGGAUCAGCAUGCCGCGGUGAAUACGUUCCCGGGCCUUGUACACACCGCCCGUCACACCAUGAGAGUUUGUAACACCCAAAGUCGGUGGGGUAACCUUUUAGGAACCAGCCGCCUAAGGUGACAGAAUU